GCUGAUCCCUGGAAUCUGCCGCUAAUUCUCACUCAGAUUUUGAGAUUUUCUCUGCGGCUGCAGGAGCCAACAGAGUCCUUUGUGCGGCCUCAGGACUCGGCUUUCAGAGGCCCUGGAGCCAGUGGUGUUGGAUUCAGCCGUAAUUCUUCAUUCUUUGGCUCAAGGGAAAACCUUGAUUCUGCACAGGAUUGCAAAAGCCGAGGCACUCCAGCUAGGACACGGCGUCAUUGGAGUGCCCUGGGAGGAGUGACACCCUCCUCCUGGGCUGGCGCGGGGAAGAGAAGCUCCCGCGUGUGAAACAGCUCCACCACCAAGCGCCUGCAGACGAGCGGUGUGUUCCGCCUGGAACCUGCCGAGGGAACGUGUGG
ensembl:lncRNA novel transcript